CAUGCACUGCAUGUAACACAGUAUCGUGCAAAGCCGUGCGUGGAACUUGGAAGGAUCUUUCCGUACUCCUGUGGCUGUGGCGUAAAAGAACAUCCAUUCGGUAGCUGAUAAAGCCAACUUCUACAUUGUUCCCAGGAUCUAUAUACCAACCAUACCUUGGCGGUCUAGCUCUCAUCAACACAGACUACCAGUUGGUGGUACACGCACAGCUCCUCGCCAUGGGAAUUUGUUGGAGCAAUAGACAGGCAAAACGAAUUUUGGAAAAGGAUCGAGUCAUUAAAAGAUUAUGGGUCGCCAUUUUGGUGGUUGUUUUCCUCGCCAUCACGGCUCUGGCUGGUGCGCUUAUUGGCGCCCUAACGACCGACACUAUUGUUGAAGUCGCGAUGGGUAUGGGCAUUGGCUUUGUGGUAGGCUUAGCGGCAUUCAUCUGCAUUGCUUGCUUCUGUUUGUGUGCCGACGAAUGUGCAGAAGACGAAGAACAAUGAGGCCAUAAGGAAGAAGGAAGAAUGUUGUUUUUAUACCUCAAGAAUAGCACCAGAACACGUAGAUUACUUGUACAGUGUACCCCCUUAACGUGACAACGAAGAAGAUCGUUUGAGGCUGAAGGACACCUGAAGUGGGGCAGAUAGGGGAAAUAUUUGAGAGAAUUGUGUCUUUGAUGAUACAUGAUCAUGGCAUUAUUUCGAAUACAGUCUCAGAUUUGUCCAUAACAAGUUUUAGAAUUAUGUCUACCGUACGUACCAGCAGCGCACUUUAACUUCCUUCCUGGUAGUUUUUCCCUUUAAAAUGUAUUCCCAGUGCUUUUAGUUGGUUUAUAUCCUCUAACGAUUUGUCAAUUUGUAUGUUUUCUUUUAAUGGAUUAUUGUCUGACAACGACUAAUUCCAUCAUUGUGUACAAGUAAUAAGCCACUUCGGAGUUACUACAGCGCAUGCGCACAUCAGAUUCAACGAUUUUAAAGUGUUGUGGAUAAACACAGCAGAUAAAUGCACACAAGUCUAAGGGGGAUGUGGUAACCAAAUCCACAUUUUGCAAUGUUUCAUCGAAUCAAAAAUAAGAUGGAAAUUUUGUUCGCACAAAAGUUGGAGUAUACAAAACAAUUUAAGCCAUGGUGCCAUUAAAAAUACUCAAAAGUUAGCAUUCAUUUAAAAACAAGAUCUUUUCUUUGAUUUCGGUGGUACCCUGCUAUGAUUUUGCUCGCGAAUGGCAAACUGUUUAUCCACAAAAGUAAAGUAAAUGGUUGAAUCUUGAUAUGCGCAUGUGCAUUAGUAACUCUGAAGUGGCUUAUUCGACGACUAAACAUCGCUGAAUGUUUUCGCUCGAUCUUUCAUUCCAAAAGUGAAUAACUUUUCUAUUAAUAUUUCUAGGAAAUAGCAAUUGAAAAAACAAAGCUCAUUUUCCAUAUGAAACUCGAACAGGGGGAAUGUAUCUUCAAACUGACUAAAGUUAGCAUCAGGCCUCUUCACCCAAUGGCCAUUGUUUCUGUUGUACCCUUUAUAUUUUUUUUGAGGG